rnacentral:rRNA from 1 species
CUGCUGCCUUCCGUAGGAGUCUGGUCCGUGUCUCAGUACCAGUGUGGGGGACCUUCCUCUCAGAACCCCUACGCAUCGUCGCCUCGGUGGGCCGUUACCCCGCCGACUAGCUAAUGCGACGCAUGGCCAUCCUAUGCCGGAAUCGCUUCCUUUUAACACCCGUGGGAUGCCCCACAGAUGUACCACGCGGUAUUAGUCCGGAUUUCUCCGGGUUAUCCCCCUGCGGAGGGCAGGUUGCAUACGUGUUACUCACCCGUGCGCCGGUCG